rnacentral:rRNA from 1 species
AGUGAACGCUGGCGGUAGGCCUAACACAUGCAGGUCGAACGGCAGCACAGUAAGAGCUUGCUCUUACGGGUGGCGAGUGGCGGACGGGUGAGGAAUACAUCGGAAUCUACUUUUUCGUGGGGGAUAACGUAGGGAAACUUACGCUAAUACCGCAUACGACCUACGGGUGAAAGCAGGGGAUCUUCGGACCUUGCGCGAUUGAAUGAGCCGAUGUCGGAUUAGCUAGUUGGCGGGGUAAAGGCCCACCAAGGCGACGAUCCGUAGCUGGUCUGAGAGGAUGAUCAGCCACACUGGAACUGAGACACGGUCCAGACUCCUACGGGAGGCAGCAGUGGGGAAUAUUGGACAAUGGGCGCAAGCCUGAUCCAGCCAUACCGCGUGGGUGAAGAAGGCCUUCGGGUUGUAAAGCCCUUUUGUUGGGAAAGAAAAGCAGCAGGUUAAUACCCCGCUGCUCUGACGGUACCCAAAGAAUAAGCACCGGCUAACUUCGUG